rnacentral:lncRNA from 1 species
UUUUAUGAUCCCCGACUUUGCGUAUUAGCUCUAAGUUCUUUCGGUCGUUUUUAUGAUCCCUGACUUUACAUAUGACCUCAAAGUUCUUUCGGUCGUUUUUAUGAUCACCGACUUUUCGUAUUAGCUCUAAGUUCUUUCGGUCCGUUUUUAUGAUCCCCGAUUUUGCGUAUUAGCUCUAAAUUCUUUCAGUCUGUUUUUAUGAUCCCCGACUUUGCGUAUUAGCUCUAAGUUCUAUCUGUCGUUUUUAAGAUCCCCGACUUUGUGUAUUAGCUCUAAGUUCUUUCGGUCUGUUUUUAUGAUCCCCGACUUUGCGUAUCAGCUCUAAGUUCUUUCGGUCCGUUUUUAUGAUCCCCG